GUUAACUUAUGUCAACAGAAGAAGAUCGUCACUGCUGUUUGCGAACCACAUCAUAUCCGCUGCACAUCAACACAGUCAACACAUCUACACAAAGUGCUACACGUCGAGAUGGAUGCAAAAGUAAGUGACCCCUUUAGCAGCGAGGCAGAUCAGCUUCCAGGAGCAGGAAUUGUGGGAAGGCUUUGGCUGCCCAAAGGUCUGUCUGGAAAUGUGAUUAAGGAUUGGGUGGACCGCAGGCGGAAGUCCAUCCGUCCGUGGGCCGGCUUUGUUGACCAGCGCAAGUUUUCCAAGCCCCGUAAUUUUGGAGAGCUGUGCCAGCGUGUUGUGAGGAACCUGGACACCUAUCAGAGCAACUACACCUUCAUCUUCAUGGCUCUCAUCCUCUAUUGCAUUAUCAGUUCUCCAAUGCUUUUGAUUGCUUUGGGAGUGUUUGCUGGUGCCUUCUAUAUAAUCCACUUGAAAACGCUGGAAAAGAAGCUGGUGGUUUUUGAGUUUCCUCCGGGUGCUCCGGUUUCCCUCACAGUCCAAAGACAUGCGCUGCAGGAGAAUUGGGUCGUGAAUUGACUCAGGGACACCAGUUGGGUUUGGCAGGAGGGGUUUCCUUCCCAGUCUUCUGGCUUGCAGGAGCAGGAUCCGCUGUCUUCUGGGUUCUAGGUGCUACCCUGGCUGUUAUCGGGUCUCAUGCUGCGUUUCAUGAGCUGGAGUCUCCUGACGUGGAUGAGUUGCUCAUGGAACCCGUUUAAACCUCUCACCUUUGACCUUUUGCCUCACGUUAACCUCAAAUGUCUCCCCUCAUCUUUUGUAUCAGCACCUGUUGGUUGCACUAAUCUAACAAUAUUAGUUUACUGAACGAUUGGCCAGGAAAGACUGUUAAAUGGACUGUUAAAUGGCCCAGACAGAUGAAGCACAUUCAAAGACCUUUAAAUGCCUUUACUGGUACCUGUUAGUUUGUUACAUUUUAUUUAUUUUGAAAUAUCAAAGCACAAGGUAGUAAAUGAACUAAGACCAUGUAAAAAAAUGCAGUAUAGUCAAACGUUUGAGAGAUUCACUUUAAGAAUGUUGUAAACUAGUAGCCACUGACAUCAGUAAUAGGAUAAUAAAUACUAUGGAAGUCUAAUAAUAAUAAAGAAUAAAUAAACUCAAACAGGAUUGGAGCAAAAUGAUAGUGAGUAAAUGAUGACAGAAUUUUCAUCUCUUUAAAGCAGGGCUGCCCAAACCUUUUUUUCAUGAAGGGCAAAAACAAAACUUGAUUGAGCGUGGUGGGCCGAAGCUAAAUAUACCAAACUCUAUUACAUUAUUUGCCAGGAUCACUUACUAAUUUAACAAUAUUUAAAAAUAAAUAGAAAAAAAUCUAAUCAUAUUAUUAAUAAUAAUAAAAAUAAAAACUUUUUUUAAUACUGUACUUAUAAUACAUUAAAACCCGACACUAUCUCUUUUUUUUUUUACAAAAACGAUAUAGUUUUAGCAACGUGCCACACACAAAUACUAUUAUAUAAAAUGGAUUUCGUGACUCUUUAAAAUUUUUUAUUAAUUCACAACAUUUAAUUUCACUUAAUUGUUUUGUAGUUCAUCAAUUAAACAAACAAACAUAGGUUAUGUUAAAUUAGUGAUGAUCUCUGUUGAAGACAUUCGCCUCAACCUUACCCAUAAUUCUCCCACUCGACUCAGAUGGGAUGGUGGGCCAAAUCAAAAGUUACCGCAGGCCCUAGUUUGGGCAUCACUGCUUUAAAUGCACAGUUCACCCAAAACAUAAUUUUAAAGUUGAAUGACUUUUAUUUUGACAGACUUUUCAAAGACUUUAACUGUUUUAAUAGGCUAUAAAGAAACUGACAAAACAAAUAGCCUUUUUUUUCAGUAAAUGUUUAACAGCAGAAUGAAAUAAAGUCUUAUAUUGGAUUAAUAACGUGAAUAACGUAAGGGUGACUAAAUAAUGACUGGAUUUUGACACAUUUUGGGCCAUGUAUAUUCGAUAUAUAUGGUAUUUUAAAUCUGCUUAAUCAGCUUUUGAUCAAAAGGUCAUGCUAGCUCAUCAGAAAGAGCAUGAAAAAUCAAACAACACGAUUGUAUUGUUUCGAUGGUCAGUUUCUGUGGUAUGUGGGUACCGGUUAUUACAUAAUCAUUUUGUUUUGAGCUAUGCUUAAUUUUUCUUACAUUAGCCAGUCAGCCAUGCAUGAUUUAAUAACCGCAUGAUAAGCAAAGAUCAUGUAUUUCUGCUAUUCAGUGUAACCUGAUGCCAAUAUUCCCAGUGGAAGCAUUUUUUUUCAUUAUACAAGUUCUCCUUUUAUGCAAACAUUUGCUUUUUUGACUUUUAUUUUGCAGCUUGUUUCUGUUGUAUUGAUAAGUGGGAUGUGCAAUAAAAUGCUUCGCCUGUACAACA